AUGGAAGUGAUGAUUAUUUCCCCAGAUGAUCGACGCUGAACAAACUGAGCGUUUUUAUUUCUCUUUGAAUUUAU
rnacentral:snoRNA from 1 species